GAUAUAUCCAUUUAUUACACUCUGGGUUGGGUUUUUUGUUGGUCUUAACAGAUUCUGAUGGUAAUAUCUGCCUUUUGGAGCCUCCUGUCACAGCAGAACCCCAGGCUGUUGACUAUGAGGAUAAUGAAACCAUUUCUGCCACAGAGAGGUCUACAGAGAGUGUGGAAGAACAGCAGGAGGAGGGUCCGUCAAAUUCUGCUGCGCAGAUGAACACUUUACCAGUUAAGGAGUUGUAUAAAAUGCAUCUUAUUAAAAAAU